rnacentral:sRNA from 1 species
AGACUUGGAACAAAAGCUAGGAGCGCCACGUCCUGUGGCAACGCUUUUCUGACCAACAUCGUGUUGG